rnacentral:rRNA from 2 species
GCAACAGCUCAAAUUUGAAAUCUGGCCUUCGGGUCCGAGUUGUAAUUUGGAGAGGAUGCUUUUGGCGCGGCGCCGUCCGAGUUCCUUGGAACAGGACGCCAUAGAGGGUGAGAGCCCCGUACGGGCGGCCGCCUAGCCUUUGUAAAGCUCCUUCGACGAGUCGAGUAGUUUGGGAAUGCUGCUCAAAAUGGGAGGUAAAUUUCUUCUAAAGCUAAAUACCGGCCAGAGACCGAUAGCGCACAA